GGGUACUACGAGCAUUAGCUUAAAACCCAAAGGACUUGGCGGUGCUUUAGAUCCCUCUAGAGGAGCCUGUUCUAGAACCGAUAACCCCCGUUAAACCUCACCUUCUCUUGUUCUUCCCGCCUAUAUACCGCCGUCGUCAGCAUACCCUGUGAAGGAACCAUAGUAAGCAAAAUUGGCAAAGCCCAAAACGCCAGGUCGAGGUGUAGCAUAUGAGAAGGAAAGAAAUGGGCUACAUUUCCUCUUCGAGGAAAUACGGAUUGUGCCAUGAAACAGCACAUGAAGGAGGAUUUAGUAGUAAGUGAAAAGCAGAGUGUUUCACUGAACCCGGCCCUGAAGCGCGCACACACCGCCCGUCACUCUCCCCAAGCCAAUCACCUCAUUUCUUAAAACCCUAAUCAGGCAAAGGGGAGGCAAGUCGUAACAUGGUAAGUGUACCGGAAGGUGCACUUGGAAAAAC
rnacentral:rRNA from 1 species